rnacentral:sRNA from 1 species
GCUGGGUGGAGUGGUUCACACCUGUAGUCCCAGCUACUUAGAAGACUGAAGCAGGAGGACCACUUGAGCCCAGUAGUUCAGUAGUUUGAGGCCAGCAUGGGCAACAUAGUGAGAUCCCUAUCUAU